rnacentral:rRNA from 1 species
GUAAUACACGAGUGGUGAGCGUUAUUCAUAGUGAUUAGGCGUAAAGGAUGUCUAGGUGGGUAAAAUGAACUGUUUAAAUAUAAAUAAUAGAGAAAUAUUUAGCACAGAUGUUUAUUUAUUCUUGAGUAUAUAAUUGUAAUUUAAUUUGUAGAUAAAGCGAUGAAAUGCAGUUAAAUUUGCAAAUUAACCAUGUUCACGACAAUUACUUUUUUAUACUGACGCUGAACCAUGAAAGUAUGGGAAACAAAUCGGAUUUGAGACCCUAUUAGUCCAUACUGUAAACUUUAGAUAUUAAUACUUACGUGAAAUAUCUCGUCUUGAUAGUAUAGUCGCAAGGCUAAAAUUAAACAGAAUUGGGGGGGAACUGUGACGAACGGUGGAGUAUGUGGUUUAAUGCAAAAAUACGCGUAAAACCUUACCAAUGUUUUUUUAUAAUUAAUUGUUUAACUUUUUUUUGAUUUUUAUAAUCAAAUUAAAUAUUUAUUUAUAAGUGUAAGUGCUGCAUGGCUGUCGUCAGUUUGUACUUUGAUGUGUUGGAUUAAGUUCUGUAACAAACGCAACCCUAAAAAAUAAUGAUCAAAUAAUUUAAAUGAUUCUUAACAAAAUAUCUUCUAGAAAUACUAAAAAUCGUAUAAUCUACAAUAAUAUUAGCUGGUAGAGGUCAAGUCCACAUGGCCUGUAUACAUUGGGCUACACACGUACUACAAUGGUAAAAACAAAUAGAAACAAAAAAGUGAUUUGGAGUUGAGCUAUAAAGAUUACUAUUAGUUCGGAUCCUAGACUGUAACUUGUCUAAGUAAAGAUGGAAUCGUUAGUAAUCAUAUACAAGUUUGAUAUGGUGAAUGUAAAGUCAGUUCUUGCACACACCGCCCAUCGCACUCGGAGAAUUGGGUGUAGUAUAAUUGUCAGUUAUAAGUCUUUUUUAAUAUCGGAAAUAUUGCGCUUUUUUAAUAAAAAAAAAAUGAUACACAAUAUAAUAUGUUUGGCUGUUUGAGUUA